UGUCCGAAGUGUGGGCGACCCAGACAGACGAGCUCCGUUUUGAAGUGAUCAGUUGUUCUUUCGAUAUCGCCGAUGGAGUGCCUACAGAAUAAGUGAUCUCGUCCUUGUUGAAUCCUUCAUGAAUCGAGUGUUUCACUCUACCUCUUCUCUAUCAUUAUUUCUUCUGUUUGUUCUGUCUGCUGUGAAUUUGUGUCAAGCAGAAGUGUAGUGACCGUGAUUGUCUAGAUUUGUUCUCCUGGGACCUUGAAGUGUAUUGUGUAAAAGUGUUUUUCCCCGCGAUAAGGCCAUGUCUCGAUCACCGGCCUCCGCUGCAUCGGCGCAUGAUCACGUGCGCAUGAAACCGGAACCGGUUCCAUUCAGCAAGUUCCUGUUUAAUUCGCAAAAUGGUACCGUACUCGGACGUACGGCGGGAUCCUGGGCGAAAAUUGGCACCUUCUACAUCAUCUUUUACACUUUUCUGGCCGCCCUGGUAGCCUUUUGCAUGUGGGUGUUCUUGGACACGCUCGACCCUCGUAUUCCCAAAUGGCAGGUUGAUCAAUCGCUGAUCGGUAACAGUCCCGGAUUGAGUAUGCGUCCUCUACCGUUUGAAGAUAAGGUCGAAAAGACCCAAAUCGUGUACAAGGGUUCGGAUAUGAAGAGUUACAAAACGUACACGGACGCUUUGGAUGACUUUCUCAGUAGCUACCGACCGUCUGGGCAGUCGUCGGACGAUGUCCAGGUUCACAACUGUUCCUACAAUGAGCCACCACCGAAGGGUAAGGUGUGUGAAGUGGACAUCAAGCAGUACGGACCCUGCACGCAAGAGAACCACUACAGCUACCACAAGAGCGCACCGUGCAUAUUCCUAAAGUUGAACAAAAUCUACGGAUGGGAGCCAGUGUUUUAUGACGAUUCCAGUUCCCUGCCUUCUGCCAUGCCGUCCGACCUAAAGGAAUACAUUAAGGAUAAGGGAGUGAAGCAGCACACGCUGAACACCGUUUGGGUAUCAUGCGAAGGUGAAAGUGAAGACGAUAGAAACAACAUUGGACCGAUUCAAUUCUAUCCGCGUCGUGGAUUCCCGGGAUACUAUUAUCCGUUCGAGAACACCGAUGGCUACCUGAGUCCGCUCGUUGCCGUACGUUUUGAGCGGCCUGCUCGUGAUCAGAACAUUAAUGUGGAGUGCAAAGCGUGGGCACGCAACAUCAAGCAAGACAGAUACGAUCGGUUUGGUUUGGUUCGAUUCGAGCUUAAGAUCGAGUCAUAAGUUCGAAUGUUCUGAGCCCACCAUCGCGAUCAGUGGUAGCAGUUGCAGCAGUAACAAGAGUAGAAGUAGAACAUUUAAUAAAAAUGCGGCCAGUUCCAUCUGUUAUCACAAACAACAACUGAAAAAAGACAGUAGAACAUUAAUGAAUACAUUACAUUAAUGGGGCGGAGAUCAAUCUUGAUAAAAGAUAGUCGCUGCCGCUUAUUAUCAACUAAACCACAACCCCAACCCACCAGUGUUAUAAAGUUGAGUGCAUUGCAUACAAAAGCAUUAUGUUUGGCCGAGAUUCUUCAAUCGAUCGCUCGAGUCUGGAUACCAGUAUCAAAUAAAUGCGAGUUGGUGGCUAUCGUCGAGCAGCAAAAAACAGAGAGCUGGAUAAGUUAAAGACAGAAAUAUCACCUAGCGAUAACUGAUACGCCGUUGUACGGCACCGCAAUAGAUAGCGCAAUGCUUGCAAAAGUUUCUGUAGAACUGUAGCUGCCAAAGAUAUAAAUAAAAAUUACAAGAA